UCUAGUCUUUUAUUGACAGCGACCAUUUCGUUUUUACAUCUAUAUUGUUGAAAAUAAAAUAUUUAUACCAUAUCACUUCAUUAUGUUAAUCGACUACCCCUCGUGUCACAACUACUCGUGAAAAACACCUUUUAUACCACGGAGGAUAUGAUGUGCGCCGCAUCAAGCCGAUGACUGCUAGCAAGAUUCUUGAGCAAAUGAACUAAUCAGAAGAUGGACCAUUUUCUGUUCAGUGAGUCUCACCAGUUGAAUUUAUUUAGGUUCAAGAGUCCCACCUGACCAGGAAGAUGCCUAAUAUGAUUUCAGCAUAUCAGCACACAG